rnacentral:rRNA from 1 species
GUCCACGCAGUAAACGAUGAAUACUGGCUAUGUGGCCCGAAUGAGGGCUGCGUGGCGUAGCGAAAGCGUUAAGUAUUCCACCUGGGGAGUACGCCGGCAACGGUGAAACUCAAAGGAAUUGACGGGGGCCCGCACAAGCGGAGGAACAUGUGGUUUAAUUCGAUGAUACGCGAGGAACCUUACCCGGGCUCAAACGGCGGAUGGAUGCAUGUGAAAGCGUGCAGUCCGCAAGGACAUCUGCCGAGGUGCUGCAUGGUUGUCGU